CUGGUUGAUCCUGGCCAGUAGUAUGCUUCUCCUAAAGACUAAGCCAUGCAUGCCUUCGAAUAAGAGGAAGCAAUUCUCUCUGAAUCUGCGAACGGCUCCGCAAACCAGUUGUAAACUAUAGCAAGCAAUCCUGUGGUUGGGCUUCGGCUCGGCCAUGGGUAACAUGGAUAACCCUGGUAAUUCUGAGGCUAAUACAAGAACGUACAACCUGGCUAACCGGCAACGGAAGGCUGGGGAACGUGCAACGUAUCGUAAUGGAUACCGGGAAAGGGUGCACGUUUGGACCGCGCUAAAAACAGUCCUUGGUAAGCCCUCACGGGCGAGCCUUGGCCUGAGCGGCUCUUGCGGUGUGCUUCUGACCUAUCAACUAGACGGCAGCGUAAGGGACAUGCUAUGGUUACAACGGGUACAGAGGAUAAGGGUUCGAUCCUGGAGAGUGGGCCUGAGAGAUUGCUCAUACUUCUAAGGAAGGCAGCAGGCGCGCAACGUUCCCCUUGGGCAAUGCUCGAGGGCGUUAGGGGACAUAUGAAUGCCUGCCAUAUUGGUGGGCAAUUCAAAUGGGUUUGUUCUAAACAGCCUUUCGAGUAACAAUUAGAGGACAAGUCUGGUUGACUGAAAGCCAGGUGUCGACCCCGGAUCCGCCCCCCCCCUGAUCAGGGGGGGGUGAGGAAAGGGAAGGCAGAAAGCUGGGAUAAGCUCCAGUUGUACAGCCGUAAGUUGCGGGGAACGCCAGUUAUGGGGGGGAUACCACAGCCCGGGGAAACUAACCCGGGUGCCCAGCAAUGGGAGGUAACAAAGCCCCUUCAGGGACCGUCCGAGUCAGCCUUGCUUUUCUCCCUUUCGGGGGGGGAGGGUGGGGCACCACGCUGGUCAAUCCGCAGCCAAGCUGCUAUACCCGGGUUCUCCGGGAGUGCGGAAGGUUCAGAGACUAUAAUCGGUUGGGCGCAAGCCUAAGGGAUAGUCCACUCCCCACGGUAACGUGGCCAGCAGAAGUAUCGGGGAGUAGCUCCCCCGAGAGGCAUGCUGGGUCCUAUAAGCACGGGCUUAAAUCCCCGUGGUAUGUAUAAGAGGAUGGUGAAGAGGGCCAGCACCCGCGAAGCUAACGUUCCGCGGAGAAAGCCAUUAAUCGGGUAUCGAAGGUGUAUACUAAUACAAGAACGAGGAAACGGUUGGCGCUAGUUGCCGGCUGAGUAGGCAUCUGGGGGGCACAGGACCGAGACGAAAGGGCAAAAGUAGGUAUGGGCUAACGCCCCCACCGAACCGGCUUCAGUAGGCUUGGGUCAGGGCAACAAGCCGGUAAAAUGGCUUUGCGCUUUGGUGCAUCGAGGCUCGCGUGUGGGGUUGCUCCCACCCGCUUGCCGACGUGAUCUUGAGCCCCACACUGGAAGGGAGGCGUGCAGCUAAGUAGGGAGGGGGGCACCCCACUCGAACGGCACGCACCAACCUCUUUGAAGGUGGCUCUGGGUGCCUAGUUGGCUAGGUAGCAACACUAUCAAAUUGCGGGAAACGCCUAAAGCCCUUGCUACCACCCGGUUGCCGAAAGGCGGCUUUGGGAACCUUGUCGUAAUGGACCAAGGCACGGUAAUAACGCAACGGGAUGCUACAAUGGCCAAUCUGCAGCUAACCCCGGCAAACCAGGGGAGCUAGUAAGGACAUGGGGGACCAUGCCUGAAUCCUCCGUUGGUAGGGACAAGUACAGAGACUAAACGGUAGUGGGUGGGGUAAGCUGUAAAUGCAACUCUGGGGCCCGAGAGGGCGUCAGGGGGCUGAGCGUGCCCUGCUUAAGAUGUAGUCCGGCCUCACCCGAAAGGGUGGUGGGAACCAUACGGUAAUUCCAGCUCUAAUAGCAUACGUUAAAGUUGUUGCGGUUAAAACGCUCGUAGUCGGCUUAAGAUCAUCAGAUGCCUGAUCCGGGAGCCUGGGACCGCUGCUCUUCGGAGCGCGCCAGGUAACUAGAGAGGGUGGGCGGUGGUCAAGUGUGCCUUGGGCUGCCUCUCCGGAGUCGCAGGGCUUGGUCAGCUUCCUUCACGGGGGGUUGGCUUUGUCCGGCCUGGGGUACCAUUUACUAUGAUUAAACUGGAGUGAUCAAAGCAGGUCGAUCGACCUUGCACAGCACAGCAUAGCAUAAGCAAAACUGGCUUGGCCCUAUUACGGGGGCUGGGUUGGUAGAAGCGAAAGGGGUGUUCGAGGGUGACCGAAUUGCUGGGCGAGUGGUGAAAUACGUUGACCCUAGCAAGUCGACCAAAGGCGAAAGCGGUCAUCAAGGGCACACCCGUUGAUCAAGAGCGAAAGUUAAGGGUUCGAAGACGAUUGACACGUAUGGUCGUCUAAAGCGGGAAAUGCCCCUAUGGGGAGGAAGGUGGGGGUCGCUCCCUUGCUAUCCCGACCUGGGGGUAAUGAAAGCUAGUUUCCGGGCCUUCGCGGGCUCGGGGGCAACACCAUCAAAUUGCGGGGACUCCCUUAGAGCCUUCAACUACCGUGCCCCUUUCAUAGGGGUAAACCCUGGAUAAUGCCCAGUGGUAGGUCAUAACGUUGAGGGAUUGGGUUACCUGCAGCUAAGCUCUGAAGCCACCUUGUUCAAUACGGCAAAUCCCCGCUUGCGGGGGUGCGUCCCGGACUCGGGGGUGGGGAGUGACGUUCACAGACUAAACGGUGGUGGGUGGGGGUCUCCAAAGGGAAGCCACGGCUAUCUCGGAGGGGGUCUCUGCUUAAGACAUAGUCGCACCCCUCCCGAAAGGGAGGUUGGAAACCAAGGCAGAUACCGUCGUAGUCUUAACUAUAAAUGAUACUGACCAGGGAUAGGAUACUGUCCAUCUCGACUCUUCCCGAACCUUAGAGAAAUCAGAGUCUUUGAGUUCUGGGGGGAGUAUGGUCGCAAGGCUGAAACUGUAAGGGGAAAAGCUGGGUUUCUAGAGUGGGUUGCCCCUUGUCAAAGGGGGGUAAGCUGCUAGUCCAAUGGUUCGAACUCCAGGCUCUGCAGGCCAUAGAGGGAGAGCCAUACCGGGAGCACCCGGUUGUAAAGGGCUACACUGUCAAAUGGCUGGGACAUCCUAAAGCCUUCUCUACCAACCAUGCGCCUAACAAGCGGAAAAAACAGGCGCAUCGACCCCCUAACGGGGAUAGCGGCCUGCAUGGGGCCAGGGGUAACGACCCUGGGUACGGUGAAAACGAGGAGGAUAUGAGCGGGAGGAAUGGCUUUCAGGCCGUCACCCCCCCGUUCGACAUGGGUUACCAGCAGCCAAGCUCGUCACCCACCCCGUACUCUAUGGGGUGGCCGAGUGCAGCUCACAGGCCAAACGUCAGUGGGCCCCACACCAAGCGGGAAGCGGCGAAAGCGGCUAUCCGUGGGGGCUUAUAAUAUGGUCGGCACUCCCGGGGAAACCCAGGGGAUCAAGCGUAAAGGAAUUGACGGAAGGGCACACAAAGAGUGGAACCUGCGGCUUUGAUAGAUUAGGCCCAUAAAGUGAACCCAGUUUGCUAGUGGGUGGGGAGAGGCUUGCCUUUCCCCGCUUGCAACACCCCCAAAUAGCUGGGACCCACUUACAGCCCCCCUUACCAAGCAGCAUUCCGAAAGGAGGCUGUGGCCCUGGAUAACAACCAGGGGUAUGGUGAUAAUAGGGAGGGAUUGGGCAACCAGCAGCCAAGUCCCUUAUUCAAAGCCAGACCUCCGGGUCUGGCUUUGCCGGGAUGCAGCUCACAGACUAAACGGUGGUGGGCGGCAGAUUGCCCUAUGUCCCUUGCCCUCAUGGGUGGGGGGUCUUGGUCAACUUGCUGCUUAAGAUAUAGUCGAUCCCCCUUGUAAAAGCAAGGGGUACCGAAUAAUUUGACUCAACACGGGAAAACUCACCAGGUCCGGAUACACGUAUGAAAGACAAGCUGAAAGACUUUUCUCAAUGAUGUAAGUGGUGGUGCAUGGUCGUAACUAGUUGCGAUGGAGAGUGCUUUCCUAACCGGGAAACGUGCUAGUGGCUAAGCUCCCCGGGAGUGGUGUUGCAACACUGUCAAAAUGCGGGGGAACCCCCUUUAACCCUCACGGUACCACCCCCGACCCGAAAGGGUCGGUAGGCGCAACCUCGGAGAAAGACCAAGGUCAUGGUAACAACCCGUGAGGCUGGGGCGAUCCGCAGCCAAAUCCUAAAGGGAAAAGUCAGCCUUGCGGCUGGCCGGCCCCCACGGAUGCAGUUCAACGACUAAAUGGCAGUGGGCGGUGGCAGCAAUGCCGCUGCUUAAGGUAUAGUCUUGCCCCAUCGAGAGAUGGGCCUACUCAAAGCAGUAGGAGGUGGUCGGGUGCCCUGCGCAAGCGGGGAUUUCCCGCUCACUGGCUCAAACAGUCUUAGUUCGUGGAGUGGUUUGUCUGGUCUAUUCCGAUAACGAGCGAGACCCCGACGUUCCUAAUAGGGGCGGCAGCCCGGCUUUCGCCCGCAAGGGUGUUCGCUAGCAGCCGCCUCACAAUAUGCUUCUUAGACGUAUCAGAAUCGAAAAGGUUCUUGAAAUGGGUUAAUAACAGGUUGAUCACAAAGACUGGCCUGCAAGAGUCGGCUCUGCUAUCCCCCGGGAAGGCAGGGUCUGGCUAGUGGGACUAACCCGCUUCCCCCUCGGGGGUCGCGGGGGGGUACUGCGACACUUUCAAAGUGCGGGAACACCCUGUUGAAAGCACAAUCUUAGCUUUGCUCCCCGAAAGGGGACCUGGCGGGUUGGGCCUGGGGCUAUCCGCAGCCAAACCCUAAACGAGACGCCGCAAGGCUCUCGCACGGGCGCAGUUCACAGACUAGACGGAAGUGGGGUUGUGCAUACGGCAUUCCUGAACCAAUAAAGGAGUGUCUCAGCAGCCUUAAGAGAUAGCCGAACCAUGGCUUUAAAAGGCCAUAGGAUUGCAGUCAUGCCCUUAGAUGUUCUGGGCCGCACGCGCGUUACAAUGGCAUGCUUUAGAAAGUGCUCAAAAGGGCGUAUCCGCGGCCUACAGGUCGCGGUAACCCCUAGUCCCUGCCUUGACUGGGACAGACUAUUGCAAUUAUUGGUCUCAAACGAGGAAUUUUUAGUAGUCGCAGGUCAUUAACCUGCGACGAAUGCGUCCCUGCCCUUGCAUAGGGGGCUUACAGGCAUGCCGUGAGGUAGAGCCUAGUCUGGGUCGGGGUCACCUGCCUUCUCUCGAGAAGCGGGAAAAACCGGCUUGGGCAACACCGACAAAUUGCGGGGACUCCCUUAGAGCUGGCCCUACCAAGCCUUGCCCCGAAAGGGGCGGGGUGGCCCUGGAGAAAGACCAGGGGUACGGUAACAAUGGGCCAGAUUGGGUUAUCUGCAGCUAACCCCUUACGCUUUUCCCUAUGGGACCCCCGGGUCCCAGGGGCUGAGUUACGGGCGUAGUUCACAGGCUAGAUGCCGGUGGGUGGGGUCGAGAUAGCGGGGAAACCCGCUUUCGAAGCCCUGCUUAAGAUAUAGUCGCCAAGAGGGCCUGAAAAGGCCCCCCUGAUUUCGGGUUGUACACACCGCCCGUCGCUGCUACCGAUUGGGUCCUGCGGUUACGAGUUCGGAGGCUGGUGGUGCUCCGCUUGCCUCACGGUAGGCGGGUGCCUCGGCUGAAGUUCUAAUUACCGCAGGCCUAGAGGAAGCAGAAGU
rnacentral:rRNA from 1 species